rnacentral:rRNA from 1 species
CAGUAGCCGCGGUAAUACGAAGGGGGCUAGCGUUGUUCGGAAUUACUGGGCGUAAAGAGCGCGUAGGCGGCCAUUCAAGUUAGAUGUGAAAGCCCUGGGCUCAACCUAGGAAUUGCAUUUGAUACUGUUUGGCUUGAGUUCGGGAGAGGUGAGUGGAAUUCCCAGUGUAGAGGUGAAAUUCGUAGAUAUUGGGAAGAACACCAGUGGCGAAGGCGGCUCACUGGACCGACACUGACGCUGAGGCGCGAAAGCGUGGGGAGCAAACAGGAUUAGAUACCCCUGUAGUCCGUCUCUUAUACAC